UACGUAGGGUCCGAGCGUUGUCCGGAAUUACUGGGCGUAAAGAGCUCGUAGGUGGUUUGUCGCGUUGUUCGUGAAAACUCACAGCUCAACUGUGGGCGUGCGGGCGAUACGGGCAGACUAGAGUACUGCAGGGGAGACUGGAAUUCCUGGUGUAGUGGUGGAAUGCGCAGAUAUCAGGAGGAACACCGGUGGCGAAGGCGGGUCUCUGGGCAGUAACUGACGCUGAGGAGCGAAAGCGUGGGGAGCGAACAGG
rnacentral:rRNA from 1 species